rnacentral:tRNA from 1 species
UCCCUGGUAGUCCAGUGGUUAGGACUUGGCACUUCCACUGCCAGGGAUUGGGUUCAGCCCCUUGUUGGGGAA